rnacentral:rRNA from 1 species
UGGGGAAUUUUGGACAAUGGGGGAAACCCUGAUCCAGCCAUCCCGCGUGUGCGAUGAAGGCCUUCGGGUUGUAAAGCACUUUUGUCAGGGAAGAAAAGUUCAUGGCUAAUACCCGUGAACGCUGACGGUACCUGAAGAAUAAGCACCGGCUAACUACGUGCCAGCAGCCGCGGUAAUACGUAGGGUGCAAGCGUUAAUCGGAAUUACUGGGCGUAAAGCGUGCGCAGGCGGUUCGGAAAGAAAGAUGUGAAAUCCCAGGGCUCAACCUUGGAACUGCAUUUUUAACUACCGGACUAGAGUAUGUCAGAGGGGGUAGAAUUCCACGUGUAGCAGUGAAAUGCGUAGAGAUGUGGAGGAAUACCGAUGGCGAAGGCAGCCCCCUGGGAUAAUACUGACGCUCAUGCACGAAAGCGUGGGGAGCAAACAGGAUUAGAUACCC